rnacentral:rRNA from 1 species
GUCCUCUUGUUUAUUUUGGAGGUCUGACCUGCCCAGUGAAAUUUUUCAACGGCCGCGGUAUUUUGACCGUGCAAAGGUAGCAUAAUCAUUAGUCUUUUAAUAGAGGGCUGGAAUGAAAGGUUUAACGAAUCAUUAGCUGUCUCAUUUUUAUAAUUUAAAAUUUAAUUUUUAAGUUAAAAAGCUUAAAUGUUAUUGAAGGACGAGAAGACCCUAUAGAGCUUUAUAUUAAAAUUUUUAAUAAAAUGUUGAUUUAUAUUUUAGGUAUUAUAAUAAUUUAAUAUUUUGUUGGGGUGACAGAAAUAAAUAAUUAACUUUUUUAUUUUAUAAACAUAAAUUUAUGAAUUUUUGAUCCAUUAUUACUGAUUGUUAGAUUAAGUUACCUUAGGGAUAACAGCGUAAUCUUUUUUUGGAGUUCAAAUUUACAAAAAGGCUUGCGACCUCGAUGUUGGAUUAAGAUUAUAAUUUGGUGUAGCAGCUAAAUUAAUAGGUCUGUUCGACCUUUAAAUUCUU